GAAAUAAUGGAAAGAGAAAUUAUACCCAAAAAAUUGGAAAGAGAAAUGAAGAUUCAUCUUGAUUCUACCAAAGAGAUUUUUUUUUUUUUUUUUUUCAAAUAAUGGGAAUAGAAAUUAUACCCAAAAAAGUUGGGAAGAGAAAUGAAGAUUCAACUUGGGCUUGGUCUCUGUUCUCAUAUUUUAGAGACGAUCGAGAGAGACAGAGACAACACCCUUGUCAAUGGUACGAAAGCUUUGCUUAACUCCUCCGCCACCUCUCAACCCAUUCUUGGACAAAAGGUUUGAAUCAGGUCACACUGUCCAGAGAGGUGCUUUCCGACCUUUGAUUGAUAUGCUCCAGUCUCCAGAUGUACAACUUAGGGAAAUGUCGGCCUUUGCAAUGGGGAGAUUGGCCCAAAUUAAUGUUUUUCCAUUUCUUGGUUUGGUCUUGUUCAAACCCCUCUACAUCAAAUAAUUAGUCAUGUGUGUUAAAAAUAUUGUUAAUGAGGCAGGUCCUUACUUAGUUCAUGGUAAGUGUGAUUGCUGGUUGUGUACCUUCUUUUCAUGGUAACCUGUUCAAGAAUAGAUUUUUUUUUUUCCA